CUUGAUCGAGCCGAGGAACAGCGGGCGGUCGUGCUCGCGGUCCUGGCCGUAGGUGGCGAGGAGGGCCUGGGCCUC
rfam:Streptomyces sp. 769, complete genome.